UACGAAGGGGGCUAGCGUUGCUCGGAAUGACUGGGCGUAAAGGGCGCGUAGGCGGUUUGUACAGUCAGGUGUGAAAUUCCCGGGCUCAACCUGGGGGCUGCACUUGAUACGUAGGAACUGGAGUGGGGAAGAGGGUCGUGGAAUUCCCAGUGUAGAGGUGAAAUUCGUAGAUAUUGGGAAGAACACCGGUGGCGAAGGCGGCGACCUGGCCAUGUCCUGACGCUCAGGGGCGAAAGCGUGGGGAGCAAACCGG
rnacentral:rRNA from 1 species